rnacentral:rRNA from 1 species
GCCUCAGUACGGCGAGUGAGCGGCAAAAGCUCAAAUUUGAAAUCUGGCACUUUCAGUGUCCGAGUUGUAAUUUGUAGAAGUAGUUUUGGGACUGGUCCUUAUCUAUGUUUCUUGGAACAGGACGUCAUAGAGGGUGAGAACCCCGUAUGAUGAGGCCCCCAGUCCUUUGUAAAACGCUUUCGAAGAGUCGAGUUGUUUGGGAAUGCAGCUCUAAGUGGGUGGUAAAUUCCAUCUAAAGCUAAAUAUUGGCGAGAGACCGAUAGCGAACAAGUACAGUGAUGGAAAGAUGAAAAGAACUUUGAAAAGAGAGUGAAAAAGUACGUGAAAUUGUUGAAAGGGAAGGGCAUUUGAUCAGACAUGGUGUUUUGCGCCCUUUGCUCCUUGUGGGCGGAGGAUACGCAGCUCACUGGGCCAACAUCAGUUUUGGGAGCAGGAUAAAUCUGUAGGAACGUAGCUUUCUUCGGGAAGUGUUAUAGCCUAUGGGAAUACUGCUACCUGGGACUGAGGACUGCGUCUUUUGACAAGGAUGUUGGCAUAAUGGUUAAAUGCCGCCCGUCUU